AUACACUGAAUAAGUCCCGUUUAAAUGAUGGUUUUUUGAAAAGAAAAAGAGUUUAAAUGGGUAAAAGAGAAUUUUUUUACAAAAGAUAAUAAUUUAUUAAAAAUAGCUUUAAAAGGCCCAAAAAGGGUAUUACAUUCCAUGGCCCAUUAACAAUAGGAAAAAAAAAAAAGAAGCUACUAAUUCAAGUCAAUAUUACCAUAAAAGAGUCCAUUACUAAGCCCCCAUCAAAGAUCCAAUAAAGCUUGUAAAGGAUCUGAAAACCAGCAACCCUAUCCAAAUGGAAGACCCGGUUUCUCAACCCAUGCAGCAUUGCUCAACCAUGGGACAUCAGAGCAUAGAGCUCCUCCAUCUUUUGGAACAAAAGAUCUACGGCUAAUAGAUAGCCAUCUUGCUAAAAACCACAAUCAGAAGCAAUCGUACCUUGCAUAUCCCUAUAAAACUAUAAACAACAAGCAAAGCCAUAGAACUAGAAUUGCUCAGCAUCAAUCGAUAGCUCAUGAAGGAAGAAAUAGCAGGCAAGGAGGCAAGGCCCAUUAAGGAGGAUGGUGGCACCCUUCAACCAGCUCUUAUACACCGUUGAGGAACCUCCUUUCUUCCUUCCACAAAGAGCAAAUCCGAUUCUGCUUGAAGCUGAAAUCAACAUUGUCGGCGCACCAGAAGCACCCAAAACACAUAUGCUAAAGAUAAACCCCUUUAUCGAAGAGCACAAGACUUGCAAAAAGGCAAAUAGAAACCAAUUGUACACAACCCAACCCAACGGUAGGAGAGACAAAACCCACUUUCAGGCCGAGGAGGAGGCCUUCCCAACCUUUGAGGGGCAGACGAAGCCAAACGUUAGCCGGCAAGGGAAGGAACAAAACCCAAGUUUAGACCAAAGGAGCAAAACAGAGAGAAAAAGAACAGUUGUGUUUUCCCUGGUUCCUCACAUCUCUUUGAAA
rnacentral:misc_RNA from 1 species